rnacentral:rRNA from 1 species
UCCUGGCUCAGAUUGAACGCUGGCGGCAGGCCUAACACAUGCAAGUCGAGCGCGAAAGGCCUUCGGGCUGAGUAGAGCGGCGGACGGGUGAGUAACGCGUAGGAAUCUACCUGGUAGUGGGGGACAACUUGGGGAAACUCAAGCUAAUACCGCAUACGCCCUAUGGGGGAAAGUGGGGGACCUUCGGGCCUCACGCUAUCAGAUGAGCCUGCGUAGGAUUAGCUAGUUGGUGAGGUAAAGGCUCACCAAGGCGACGAUCCUUAGCUGGUCUGAGAGGAUGAUCAGCCACACUGGGACUGAGACACGGCCCAGACUCCUACGGGAGGCAGCAGUGGGGAAUAUUGCGCAAUGGGGGCAACCCUGACGCAGCCAUGCCGCGUGUGUGAAGAAGGCCUUCGGGUUGUAAAGCACUUUCACUUGGGAAGAAAAGCUCAUCGUUAAUAGCGGUGAGCCCUGACAUUACCUUGAGAAGAAGCACCGGCUAACUCCGUG